GCCCUGGUAGCUCAGUGGCAGAGCGCCUGUCUUGUAAUAGGACAAAACAGGAAAACAGGAGGUCGAGGGUCCAACCCCCUCUCAGGGCU
rnacentral:tRNA from 1 species